UUCGCAAUGCCCGAAAGGGUGACGAAGCGACGCCGCGUGUGGGAAGAAGGCCUUCGGGUUGUAAACCACUGUCGGGAGUUAGGAAAUGUAAGGGUGUUAAUAGUAUCCUUACUUGACUAAGGCUCCGGAGGAAGCCACGGCUAACUCUGUGCCAGCAGCCGCGGUAAUACAGAGGCGGCAAGCGUUGUUCGGAAUUAUUGGGCGUAAAGAGCACGUAGGCGGCCUUGUAAGUCAGUUGUGAAAGCCUUCUGCUUAACGGAAGAACAGCAGCUGAUACUGCAAGGCUAGAGUGCGGAAGGGGAGAGUGGAACUUCUGGUGGGGCGGUGAAAUGCGUAGAUAUCAGAAGGAACACCGGCGGCGAAGGCGACUCUCUGGUCCGUAACUGACGCUGAGUGUGCGAAAGCUAGGGGAGCAAACGGGAUUAGAUACCCCGGUAGUCCUAGCCGUAAACGAUGGGCACUAAGUAGAGGGGUUUU
rnacentral:rRNA from 1 species